UUAGGUGUUUGCAAUAAAUCCUGGUA
rnacentral:piRNA from 1 species